rnacentral:rRNA from 1 species
AGUCUAGAGAAUCGUUUUCCGCGUUGGCCUGUGUACAAGUCCCUUGGAACAGGGCGUCAUAGAGGGUGAGAAUCCCGUCCUUGACACAGAUUACCAAUGCUUUGUGAUGCGAUCUCGAAGAGUCGAGUUGUUUGGGAAUGCAGCUCAAAAUGGGUGGUAAAUUCCAUCUAAAGCUAAAUAUUGGCGAGAGACCGAUAGCGAACAAGUACCGUGAGGGAAAGAUGAAAAGCACUUUGGAAAGAGAGUUAAACAGUACGUGAAAUUGUUAAAAGGGAAACGAUUGAAGUCAGUCAUGCUUUCCGAGACUCAGCCGAUUCUGUCGGUGUACUUCUCGGUUGGCAGGCCAGCAUCAGUUUCGAUCUGUGGAAAAGGUUGGAGGGAACGUGGCAUCCUCGGAUGUGUUAUAGCCCUUCUUCGAAUACAUAGAGCGGG